rnacentral:rRNA from 1 species
UGUUAGCGGCGGACGGGUGAGUAACACGUGGAUAACCUACCUAUAAGACUGGGAUAACUUCGGGAAACCGGAGCUAAUACCGGAUAACAUUUUGAACCGCAUGGUCCUAAAGUGAAAGAUGGUUUUGCUAUCACUUAUAGAUGGACCCGCGCCGUAUUAGCUAGUUGGUAAGGUAACGGCUUACCAAGGCGACGAUGCGUAGCCGACCUGAGAGGGUGAUCGGCCACACUGGAACUGAGACACGGUCCAG